rfam:Otolemur garnettii contig115384, whole genome shotgun sequence.
GCAAGGCAUGGCAUGCCUGUAGUUCCAGCUAUUCAAGAGGCUGAGGAAGGAGGAUUGCUUAAGCCAGGGAGAUCUGGGCUGCAGUGCACUAUGUCAGUCAGGUGUCCCCCUGACCUCUGGGCCGAGGGGAACCACCAGGUUGUCUAAGGAGGAGUGAAUUAGCCCAGAUUGGAAACUGAGCAGGUUGAAACCCCCAUACUGAUCAGUAGAGGGAUCACCCUGUGAAUAGCCACUGUACUCCAGCCUGGGCAACAUAGCCAGAUUACAUCUCUC